GCAUAGAUUCAAUCUAUCCGAUAGCCUCUGCUGGUGACCACGGAUGUACUGGCACCGUGCUGAUGCAGUCAAAGAAAGGUCGGAGCGACUAUUCGCGCCGACCUUUCUUUUU
rnacentral:sRNA from 1 species